rnacentral:lncRNA from 1 species
GCCUGCUGGGCUCGUGCCUCCUCUAUCAUCGGAGCCCAGGGCCCAGCCCAGGUCCACGUCCCUGCCCCACUGUUCAUCUUGGGCCCAGCAGAAAUCCACAGAUGACUCCCCAAGAAAGCUUGGCUCCCCAGCCUAAUGCUGUGCUUGUGGAUAUGCUCUCUCCAGGCUGACCCUUGUGAGGUGGUCAGGAACGGAGGGGACACUGGGAUUGGGUACUUUAAAAUCAGACAGUGUUAAGUAAGUGAUUCAAGUGGGGAGAGAGAUCUUGGCUUCUCAUUUCUGCUUAAGAAGAAAGUCUAAAUUCCGUGUUAGUAGUUCUUUAA